GCUUCUACUACUAUUUCUAUCGUUUAAAGAUAAAGUAAAGCAUUACAUAGCGUUUAAUGAUUGACAUGUAGGUCAUACAAUAAUUAAAGACAACCUUAUGGCUCCUGCCGGUUGUCGUAGCAUCGAUCUGCAAGUUGAUAUUAACUAUUACAACAUGAUCAUCUUAUACAUCAAAUAUAUAUUAUCAUGUCUUUGGCCAUAUUAUAUCACAACAUACCCUGCAAUAACAAGUUAGACGUCCUCUAAUUUGUUGUUGAAUAUUUUACGUGGCUGCUAUGGGUAUCUAGGAAGAACGCUUCUUACCUACGCAAAACCACAACGGUGAUAUGGAAGUUGCUAUUUAACCUUCUACAAGGACUGCCUUUGUCGAAUCUGAUUCAACUAAGG
rnacentral:lncRNA from 1 species